UAUUAAUGAUGCUAUUGCCAUGCUAAUACCGAGAAAUCAUAUAUAUAUAUAUGGAUUUCGUUGAGUUAAACUCUUUAAAUUACUGAAUUCU